CGCCGACUCACCGAAAGUAUGUACCGGAUUCGAAACAUUCAAAGUCCGCAAGAUAUCUCAUAAUGCUCCGCAUUACCCAGCUCACUCUGAAGAACACACACACACCGAAUUGUCUUACCUUUUUCCCUUUUUUUUUUUUUUCCUUGUCCUUCCACACAGACGCACAGAUAAGAACGGACAGGAACACACACACAUACCCCUUUUCUAUCAACAACGCAGGCAAGCUCACAUACACACAUUGUAUUCCACAUUAUUACACUUAUUUUACUACAUGAAGUUUUCAAAGUAUAAAGCACCUCCAAACCAGCUCCGUAUGCAUGAAGCUUACAGUCAUACAAAUUAAAUCCAACUUUCUCCAAAGGAAAAAAAUUUCUUUUCUCUAAAUCUUAUCCAACUUAUCCAAUACUUUAGGUAUGGAGCUCAUGUUCAGAGCACUAAUAAAUACAUUUUCCCUGUCUCCAAAACUCACACGCUCUCACACCGCACUCAUAUUAUAAGCACAUACAUUAUAAGCACACCACACACAUUUGUUAGUACAUAUUCCAUUCAUACACCGGGCAUGCUGUAUUGCACGACCCGGACCUGGGCCCAGGAUUUAUUCCCCUCUCUAUCCAGCCCUGGAAUCUAAUCUAUCUAUCUUUUAUCUAAUCCUUUUCCAGCGGUAUUAGGGGUCCCCACCAAUGCAGCCACCACUAGACUGCUAGUCAAGUCUAGUAGCCGGUAUCUGGGGUCUGAGGCCUCAUUUUUCACCUGCUUUCUAUCCCAGCCCUGGAGUAUUUCUCUAUUUCUCUUUUUUCUACCUUUUUUCUACCUCCUCCAGCGGUAUUGCAGGACUUUCACUCACACAACACAUAUACCAUUUCUUUAUUACAAUUAAAAAGUACAUUCUAUAAUCUAUACUUCUCUUACCUCUUCUCACUCACUCCAGGUUCUUUUGGAGACCCACUUAGUCUUUCUUCCCACCCCGGGGCUUCUCAAUCGUAACAACAGACCACUAAAACAGAGCUUUGAAAUAACAGGCGUCUGCAAUGCCUUUUCCUAUACGGCCUGUCUGUUGCUUAGAGAGCGAAGUCCCACGGGAGAGAUUCCAGACAUAUAGAUCUUAGCCCAGUCCCAUCUGGGGUGCCAAAUGUUGGCUCAAAUUUAGCCUAUUACCCAAAAACGUUUAAAACUCAACUUAGAAGCCAAUACUCACAUCUACCUCUGAGCCCAGUUGGAGAUAGAAAAAACACACCAGCCGUGAGUGAGAAGAAGCAAGGGUCCAGCUUUAUUGUUCCAUUCCACCACACGAGAUCCACACCGAUGAGAAUUCUCAAAAGUGAUCCCCCCUACCCUGAGCUUAAGCUCCAGUAUUUAUACUGUAUUUACACACUAGAUAACCCAUAGGUUUCCAGAAAAGGCCUAUUUCACUUACCCAUAGAAUUGAAACCCGGGGUUUUACUUUACACAUAAAAUCAGAACUCAGGCAUUUCCAACAACCCAGGAAACAAAAACCCAGUGUCUCUAUUUACCUAGGUUUUCAAAAACCAGGGUUCUCUUUUACCUAGGUCUUCAAAAACCAGGGUUCUCCCUUACCCAGGUCUUCAGAAACCAUGAUUCCCAUUUCCCUAGGUAGUAAAAAUGACGUAAGCAAGACGACUAAACAACCGGGAGGGACCUUGGUCUUAUCGUUAUCUCGAUGGGGGGGCAGCCACCCUUAUAACUGGCUUUCUUCAUGGUUCUCUAAAAAUUAAGGCUUUCCUUGCGAGACGAGAAUCUUCACCAUCUGAAUCAUGAAAAUCAACUCUGAUAGUGUUGCCGCUAUGGGGGAAUGCACCAUUAGGAGUGACUGACUUAGAUCAGACUGGUCGCUGAUUCAUCCAUCCUUCUGGCGGGAGUUAGGUUAACGGACCCCUCCCUUAACUCUAGUGGAAUGCACAGCAGGUGGAAGAAGACUUUUCACAUUGUGUCGGUGGUAGAGCGGGCUGUCCACUAAUUGUAGGGUUGGCGGUUCGAUUCCCGGCCCGGGUGACUCCACAUGUCGAAGUGUCCUUGGGCAAGACACUGUACCCCAAGUUGCUCCCGAAGGAAAUGCUGGCAAAAGUGGAGAUAGGAGGAGUGCAGAAAUAUAUUAAAGUUCCACAGACUUAUGAAGUCUUUCAAUUUGAGAACUUCCUUCAAGAAGCCAGACAGUUUCAGUGAGGGCCAGCUCUCAGUCACUGAUGUGUCACGAACAGAGGUGGAUGGAGAUGUCUUUGAUGAACUUGUCAAGUCAGGUGUCUUCACCUUCAAGGUCCCUUUACCAGUAAUGGUUAAGGAUGUGAAGGCAUGGGAAAAGGCAGGGGUUUGAUGAGAUCUGGAUGUUCAGCUGGUCUCAGAUCAAGCAUCCUCCUCUGUACUGACUCCAAUAUCCCCAGCUUCAUCCCAUUCAUCAGAUUCCAUAAUUGUCUUGAGUCCAGAAGAAAGAGGAGGAACCCAACAGGGUUAAUGGACCAGACUGAAGCAGGACAGGUAAGCUUUGAAUAAAUGCAUUUGAAAUCCUCAAUUUUAUUAUUGAUACUUAUCUGUAGAAGUGUUUUGUAAAUGUAUUCUCGGCAUAAAGGAAAGGCAUUAAAAUCCUCAUAAAUUUCCAUGAGAAUGUCAUAACAAUGUAAGAUGUUUUGGCAAGUUGAUUGUUUUCUGAGGGCCAAUCCAAAGGGUGAGGAAAUCUUCAAGGAGUAUGAAAAGACCAAAACACUAACAGAUGCCACACAUAAACAGAUGGUGACCGUCCUGGUAGCAGACAUGUUAGAGCUACAUGGGUAAGAAUUGGAGGUCACUUCCCUCCGUUUGUCAUCAGAACAGAUUCAUGUGGUGCAGCUAAAGAAUGCUAUUCUGUUUUGGUGGAAAAGGGGCAUAUAUUCUUUAACUUUUUGCAAAACAUACACACUUGCAAAGUAAACUGAAAGGAGGAUUCCAUCAUCAAGUGACCAAUUAUGCACUGGGAAUUGACACAUUUUCCAUGCCUCCAAGAUCCUUUCUCGAAACAUGCAUAUGUAAGUUCUUGUAUUCUGUCUGAAAACCCAAACCAGUGUGUGUUUUUAAAUUUCCUUCCCUUUUAAAGUUUUAAAGUUAACAUGAUCUUGUUUUAGAUGAGUGUUUAUUGGAUGCUCAGCUUUGUAUUUUCCACUUGUUUUUGUAAUGUUAUAUAGUCAUUGUGUGAACAUAUUGUGUUGAGUAACUCAUUCUUGAAGCCACGCACGAGAUGCCUCUGUUUGGGUCUUUUCUUAGACAGGAACACUACUAUGAUCCUGAGGGUAAUACUGGCUUCUUUGCAUGGAGGAUCAAGACAGUUCAACGUAACACCUGUGCUGGCUCCCGGUGUCAUUCCAAGACUGUUCUUCAGGAUGGUCCAAAAACCAGACGAGAAUCUCUGUUAACCUGUCAACAGCUAUUUGAUCGACCAGGAUUUCUCCAUGAUGUUUGAUGAUGAAGUGUUUCAGAAGUUCCUGGCAAAGUGGUCAACAUUCUUCAAGCCAAAAUCACUGCAGACUGCAAGACUCGAGAAUGUCGGCGAGCUACUGUCAGGAACUGAACCUGAAUCUGAGUACUACAAUGGAUGGGACAGAGAUAUGUCCUCAAUCCUUUUGCUGCUGCAUCUGCUCCCUCCAACCUCAAGAGGCCAGAAAAAUAACAUCAAAGAUCAGUUCAGCUCAAGCAACCAGCCAUCUUGUGAGAUAUCUAAGGAAGGAGCCAGUGUGACUACCUUCAUUGAAAGUGCUGACACAAGACAACCAUUCCUCCUCUGCAUCAGUGAGCGAAAGAAGGAUAUCCAACAGUUCUACAUUAUUAUCGACCAAAAACCGAUCCCAUGUAAGGCGCACACAUCAGUGGCAGCUUUUGAUGAACUGUCCAAAGCUCACUAUGUCUUCAGUCUCUGAUAUGAUGAAGCUCUUUGUAAUUUCUACACAUUUAUUAAAAACCACUAUCUAUAACAUCGAUGUCGGAAGAGCAAAGGAGAGGCCGCAUGUUAAAGAACUUCUAGCAUGAUUGCUGCAGCGAGAUUAACAACCUUGAAGAUGUUCACACGUUUUGUAUGUAAAGCACACCUCAGAAUUUGUUUAGUUCUUUGUCAACAUUUAAAAUUUCCACAUGGUUUAUAUCCUAGCAAAAAGUUACAAUUAAAAUGUGGAGAGCCAGGUUGACCGCUAUCAUUUUGUAUUUAUGGUGGCUUCCGAAAAACACCUAAGCAAGGUACAUAGUCACACUAUGAAUCAAGAGAUUGAUACUAAUCAGGAUCUUUCCACUCAGGGAUAAUAUGAGGUGGAAUGUUCAAAUGAUUGCCCAAAUUCUGUUGCCACUUUACAUACUUCAUAAAGUUCUGUUGUUACAAGUCAGCUAUCUUCAAUGUGUGGAUCAAUUGUUGCUCAUUUGCAAGCAUCAGGUCUUUCUGAAAGUGCUGUCCAAACAAUUGUUUGUUCAAUGGAAGUAGUUGUUAAUUAUGUUAAAAGCCAAGCAUGAGAUGCAGUUCUUAAAACUGUUACUCCUGAAAGCACAAGUUCAGACACUUGUAGAAGAAUAAAACACUGUUUUGAUCAAUUAGGUAAUCCUUUUUCAGCAUUUGACACUGAGUCAAAGAGGCAUACAUAUUAUGAUGAGAAAUGGGAAAUAGUUUAACCUAAAGAAUGUGUUCUUGGGGUGAGAAUGGAUUUGCGCAGAGAUAGAACUACAGGUAUCUAUAGUCAGGUUCCCGUAACGGACAAGUGCAUGUUUGUACCCAUUCUGGGUACACUGACAGCCAUAUUCAAAAACAGUCAAGUUAGAGAGAGCUUUUUACAGGACAAACAGAAUGGAAUUGGUGUUUACAAAGACAGUAAUGAUGGGUCAUAUUUCCAAAACCAUGCAGUGUUCUUGCAGCAAAAGCACGCUUUACAGAUUCUACUCUAUUACAAAGAUUUUGAAACUGCUAACCCUCUAGGUUCCAAGAGGGGAUCCACAAACUUGGUUGUGUCUAUAUUACUCUAAAAAUUCUUCCACCCAUGUGUAACUCGGUACUGAUUAAUAUACAUCUUGCAGCUCUAUUCUACACGGAAGAUCUUAAGACGUGGUUUUGAUGUGAUACUAAAGCCCCUUAUUGAUGACCAGAAAAUCUUAGAAACCGAAGGCAUACGGCUUCCUUGUUUUGAACAACCAUUGUUUGGCUCAGUAAUUCAAGUAACAGGAGAUAAUUUGGCUUUAAAUGGCUUGCUGGGAUUUGUGGAAUCUUUUAGUGCAACUAAUUUCUGCAGGUUUUGUUUAAUUAGUAAGGAAGAAGUUCAAUCUAUAUUUACUGAAUAUCAUUCUGGGUUCAUUUUCCAUUCCAAAGAGGUUCAUACUGAACAUUGUAAGGUGCUAAAUGAAAAUCCUGAACUGCGGUCAAUAUAUGGUGUCAAAAAGUCAUGUGUGCUCUAUUCAUUAUAGUAUUUCCAUUGUACUGAUAACUAUUCUGUUGACAUCAUGCAUGAUCUGCUAGAGGGUGUGGUACAGUAUGAACUUAAGCUGGUUUUUGAGUACCUUGUUAAACAGGACUAUGUCUCUUUGAACACAUUGUCACAUAGGAUACAGAGCUUUAAUUAUGGUUACACAGACUGUAAAAACAAACCAAGUGGGUUAAAAAGGGAUGAUAAGAGCAAACACCUUGGUUUGAAUGCUAUACAAUCAUGGUGUCUUGUGCGCAACACUCCACUGAUAUUUGGUGAUGUCACUGAAAGGAAUAACAAUCACUGGAACUUUCUCCUGCUUUUGAUACAGAUUGUCAAUAUAGUGUUCUCCUACACCAUAACUGAUGGGAUGAUAUGUUACUUAAAACAUCUGAUCUGUGAUCACCAUACUCUAUUCAAAUAACUGUUUCCUGACAAGAGGUUGAUUCCCAAGCAACACUUGAUGAUACACUAUCCGAGAUGCAUAAAAAAAUUGGCCCUCUUAUCCAUAUGUGGUGCAUGUGAUUUGAAGCUAAGCACCAUAUUUUCAAAAGAUGUGGCAAUAAUUUCAAGAAUCUCAUUAAAGCAACAUCAGCGUAAACUGGCAUUUAACUAUGAAAAUUAUUGUUUUAGAAGGUUUGAAUUUGGUCCUACAACAUCAAAAACCAUCUGUAACUUUUAAGGUGGGGAAGAACUCAGUCAGACAUUAUAUUUAGAAGCCUGUUUGAGUGUUACAAGUACAAAGUGGGUCAGACAUAAUGGUACUGAGUAUCAGGUUGGUUUGUUCAUAUGCACUGGAUGUACCUAUGAUCUCCCUGUGUUCAAAAAGAUCUGUGAGAUAAUAAUAUAUGAAGAGAGUGCUUUCAUAAUUUCCUGUAAUGUAAAAACGAUGUAUUAUGAUGACCACUUCAAUGCAUACUGUAUAGAAGAUGACCAAAUGGAUGACUUUUCUAUCAUCUCUGUGAAUUAACUGAUGCAUUUUAGGCCAUUUGACAAGCAGUGCUCUAAUGAAAAUAAUCAGAGAGUGCAUAGUGCCCAACUGUUAUAUAUAGAAAGACUUGACUUGAGGGGUCAGUAUUGUUAAUGCCCUUGAAAAAAUAAAACUAUUAUGAAGCAAUCAACUUGUUUUUUUGUUUGUUUGUUUGUUUGCCUUUUAGAUUUGUAAACAUUUACAUGUCAUUUUAUUUGUGAAGUAGCAUAUUAACA